rnacentral:rRNA from 1 species
AUUGAACGCUGGCGGCAGGCUCAACACAUGCAAGUCGAGCGGGGUGAUGGUGCUUGCACUAUCACUUAGCGGCGGACGGGUGAGUAAUGCUUAGGAAUCUGCCUAUUAGUGGGGGACAACAUCUCGAAAGGGAUGCUAAUACCGCAUACGUCCUACGGGAGAAAGCAGGGGAUCACUUGUGACCUUGCGCUAAUAGAUGAGCCUAAGUCGGAUUAGCUAGUUGGUGGGGUAAAGGCCUACCAAGGCGACGAUCUGUAGCGGGUGUGAGAGGAUGAUCCGCCACACUGGGACUGAGACACGGCCCAGACUCCUACGGGAGGCAGCAGUGGGGAAUAUUGGACAAUGGGGGGAAGCCUGAUCCAGCCAUGCCGCGUGUGUGAAGAAGGCCUUAUGGUUGUAAAGCACUUUAAGCGAGGAGGAGGCUCUUUUGGUUAAUACCCAAGAUGAGUGGACGUUACUCGCAGAAUAAGCACCGGCUAACUCUGUGCCAGCCGCCGCAGUAA